AGUACGUGAAGAGAGGUUUUCCCAAAUGAAUUCGUUGUACUCGGGACGAGUCAUUCCUGGCCAGCCUCUCUUCAGUGCC
rnacentral:pre_miRNA from 1 species